rnacentral:rRNA from 1 species
GAUGAACGCUGGCGGCGUGCCUAAUACAUGCAAGUCGAGCGAACAGAUGAGGAGCUUGCUCCUCUGACGUUAGCGGCGGACGGGUGAGUAACACGUGGAUAACCUACCUAUAAGACUGGGAUAACUUCGGGAAACCGGAGCUAAUACCGGAUAAUAUAUUGAACCGCAUGGUUCAAUAGUGAAAGACGGUUUUGCUGUCACUUAUAGAUUGAUCCGCGCCGCAUUAGCUAGUUGGUAAGGUAACGGCUUACCAAGGCAACGAUGCGUAGCCGACCUGAGAGGGUGAUCGGACACACUGGAACUGAGACACGGUCCAGACUCCUACGGGAGGCAGCAGUAGGGAAUCUUCCGCAAUGGGCGAAAGCCUGACGGAGCAACGCCGCGUGAGUGAUGAAGGUCAUCGGAUCGUAAAACUCUGUUAUUAGGGAAGAACAAAUGUGUAAGUAACUAUGCACGUCUUGACGGUACCUAAUCAGAAAGCCACGGCUAACUACGUG